rnacentral:tRNA from 1 species
GCCAGUAUGGCAGAAUAGUGCAAUGAAUUUAAGAUUCAUAUAUAAAAUUUAUUUUUGCUGGAA